GGUGUGGAUACCGGUAGAGGCGUCACGCGUGGGACGCUCGGUCGACUAUAUUAAAUAUUCCAGUGUGUGGCUGGUAGGCCUUCUCGUUGAUCUCAGCAAGGCUCUGCGGGACCCGGAAGAUGCAGCACGACCUUCGACCUGCUGAUUGGCUUAACUGCUUCGGCGGUUCCUUCAUUCGUCCCUCGAGCUCCAUUAAGCGCUCCGGGCCGAUGGUGAUGGAGAAGCUCCGGGGUCGAGACUCAGGAGAAGCUCCUCCUCCUCCUCCUCCUCUUCCUUCGUACUGCAUUAUUAUGCCGCCGGUGAUUCCUCCUCUUCGGGACUGUUCUUGUUUUAUGUAAUUGCCAGUGCAUUAUUUGAUCCAAGGUCGAGGGGUAUAUAAUAGAAGAACAUUUGGUGCAAUGUCUGCAUCAUUGACUUGGAAUUGACUACGAUAAAUCGAAGAGGAAAAUGCUCAGAAGAAACGGGAGAAAUCAUCGGGUUGUUGCUAGUAAUGUCAAUUAUCUCUUUUGGAUUCCUUUUGUUUUUUUGAUUCUUUGGAGAAGAUUUUUCUUUGUUUUCAUAAGGCGGACCAUUUCUUGAUCCUUUCAUCUGUCCAAACCGUCAUAGUCCAUGUGAUUAGACUCGGUAUGUUGAUUUCCUCUUAAACUCAGCUAGAGAAAACUGUAAUGUUUUUCUAGUA